GCCCGCCCGCGCAGCACCACUGGACCCCAGGGAAUCCCCUCAGCCCUCCAAAAGGUAAGGAGGCUGGGGGGAUUAAAUUUUUUUUAAAAAAGUGUUUUUGUGUGUGUGUGUGUGUGUUAGUGUGUUUGUUAGUGUGUGUGUGUUAGUGUGUGUGUGUUAGUGUGUGUGUGUGUUAGUGUGUGUGUCUGUUAGUGUGUGUUUGUGUGUUAGUGUUUGUGUGUUUGUGUGUUAGUGUUUGUGUGUUAGUGUGUGUGUCAGUGAGUGUGUCUGUUAUUGGGUGUGUGUCUGCUAGUGAGUGUGUUAGUGUGUGUGUCUGUUACUGAGUGUGUUUGAUGUCUGGUAGUGAGUGUGUGUUUGGCAGUGAAAGUGUAUGUUUUGUAAGUGAGUGUGUAUGUCUGUCGCUGAGUGUGUCUCUGUCAGUAAAUGUGUGUCUGUUAGCUAGUGUGUAUGCGUCUGUUCGUG